UCUUACGGAUGAGUAAAGACAUAAGUUUCUUGAAAUGGAAUCUGUUCCUGGUGAAGAUGCUGUGAA
rnacentral:pre_miRNA from 1 species